ensembl:misc_RNA 7SK 7SK RNA
AUAUGUGAAGGUGAUCUGGCUGCAACAUCUAUCAACCCACUGAUCACCAGGGUUGAUUUGACUGAUCUGACUGGCUAGGUGAGAAUCCCCUUUCUCCCUCACCAUUCCAUGUGCUUCCCUCCUGAAACUGAGUGCUCAAUCAAAGAGGAUGCCCUUCCCCAAAUAGAGGUGGACUAGUCUUUGGCCAAGUAUAAACAAGUAGCUGUGCUUCCCUGUUACAACUUCCAAACAAGCUCCCACUAUAUUUACAUUUUUGUCAUUAAAAAGAAAAUGAAUAUCUCUAGACAUUGUAGAAAACUAGCUGUUAAAAGCAAAUGUGUU